UUUCCGCAGCCCUGUCUGGGCCUGGGCUGAGAGUACUUGUAUCUGGGAGCGGGAGAACCCAGAUUCUAGCCCAGUCAGUCUGCAGUCAGCAUGGGACCCCAGGUUCCUCCUCUGUGGAGAGGACUGGCCCUCGCCGUGGUGUUUUGUGCUUUCUUCUCCAGCAUGCUUCUCUGCCCUGGAACACUAAAGCCCCUCCCCCAUCACUGGUUAUUUAGCCAACAUGAUUAUUUAUGAACAGUUCAGUGUAAAGCCCCGCGAUCCCUCUCGAGGCCAUCGUAACAACCGAACUGAUGGCAGUGAGAGAGGGCUGCAGGUGAGAAGACCUGAGGGACUUUCAAAUACGAGGAGGAAUCUGAGGCAGGCCUGGAAAGACGGGCUUCUGAACAGGAUCCUUCACAUUGACUCCAGGGAAAAGGAUACCCAAGUGGGAACUUGGGUCAAGCCUGGGACACGAAGCACAGCUGGACUGCGUGGAACUGGGGCGUCAUGAGGCGGUUUUCCUCUCCAUCCAUCUCUUUCCCUCUGAGACCAAGUUGUCUUUCCUACCUCCCUCUAUAUGUCUGUCCACUCUCCUCCCUGAAGGCUGGCUUCCUCUCCUCAUGUAUCACCACACAUGGCUGCCAGCAGCAAAGGACCUUCUGAUUGCCAGCACCCACCACCUUCAGACUGCCUCAGCCUUCCGCUACACAGUUCAGAUUCCCAGGGAAAUAAUCUGAUUGGCUUGGCCUAAUUCAGAAGGAAGAGACACCCAAGGACCACAGCUGGAAGACCCUCCAUCUCUUGAGUUCCCUCCUACCCCAAAUUGAAGAGGCUUCAGGCCAUACACAGCCCGCAUCUUCCCCAUAUGCGCCUACUGUGUGCCAGGCUCAUAGCUUCUCAUGGACCAUCUCCUCUGUCGGCCAACAGCUCUGAGGAAGCUCCUGGCUAUAUUCCAGAGAGCUGAAUUUGCUGGCUCCGUGAGGCU